UCCCCUGCGCUGUUCUCCAUUUAGCCGGUCCGGUUCCCGAUAUCUAUUUCCUGAUCAGGCAGCCGUUUUCGAUUUAGCUUCCGUAACAGGAAGAAUUGCAGCAUGUUGUUCACCUCGAGCACUCACAGAAUCUGCCUCUGCAGACAGCUCCGCAUGGCUGUCCUCUGCUUAUGUACAGCUUUCCACAGUUGUAUGGGGCCAGGGAUCACCUGAAAGGACCCUCUCAACAACAAAUACAGGCUUGUAGAGAGGAAUGCUUUCAGAGGUCCAUACCAUUGUCAUGAGACUGUUUUUGACAUUUCAUGCCUUGCAAUGGCAGAGAACAAAUCUGCCUCUACCCACUACUCCCAAUGAAGCUAUCGAAUUGUAUUUGUUCUUACGGGCUUACAUGCUAGCUCAUCUGUAACACAGAGGACUAGGGAUGAACUCUGUUAUCCUGACGCUGAAGGGGACAGACCGAGGUGGCUGCCCUGCUGAUUGAGAGGGGCGCCAACCUGGAGGAGGUCAAUAAUGAGGGAUACACCCCACUCAUAGAGGCUGCAUGAGAGGGGCAAGAGGACAUGGUGGCGCUAUUUUUGGCACAAGGUACCAAUAUCAACACUCAAGAGGGGAUCCAGGAGACGGCCCUGCCGGGGCCAACUUCAAGCUGGGCUGCUCAACACUUCUCAUAGAAGGACACUUGGAGCUAGUCAAAUACCUGCUGGCUGCAGAUCACACACACACAACACUCGGGGUGGAAUUUACACCUGUGUUCUUGUACUCCGGAGCCAAUGUCCAUGCGACGGGAGACACAGCGCUGACGUACGCCUGAGAGAAUGGACACACAGGACGUGGCUGACGUGCUGCUGCAGACGGGCGCUGACCUGGUGGUCCCUGACAGUUGGAAGAUAGACAUGAGCAAGAUCUUAGAAUCGGAAGCAGCGACGAGUAGGAGAAGGAAGGAAAGGAGAGCGAAUAGGAACUAAGGAUGGUCACACCAUCGUGGUGUCCUACCUCCUUGACUACCCCAUCCUUUUGGUCCCUGUGCCAAACCUACUGCAUCUCAGCUCUCAUCCCCCUCCCAUGACACCUCUCAGGCUCCACGACUUUCAUUCCAAACCCUGGCCAUGGUAGUGCCCCCACAAGAGACAGACAGAGUACCCUCCAACAUCACAACACCUCCAUCUGUCAUCACCCACCUGUAGCACGCGCUCCAGCAGCUGUCUCAGACGGCUUCAAGCAGAGGCCGAGCCCCUUCCAGGGUAACCCACUUGCUGCAGACAGUCCAGACACAGAUCUGCUGCCCCUCUUCUACUUGUACCAGCCCCUGGAGUGCGUUGUGGAAGAGACGGAGAGCAAACUGAAUGAGUUCAGCCAAAAGUAUCUCAGCCAUAGAGAAGGCUGGGCUGCAGAAGAAGAAGAUCCUCAAGAAGAAGUUCACCAAAGAGUGCAUGAAGGCCGAAGGCCUGAAGGGUGACCCGGGGCAGCCACCUACCUCUGUAGACCAGCUUCUUACCUUGGCCACUCAGCAUUCUAGACUUUAGUACAGCAGACUACCCCAACAUCACAUGCCCUGCCCUACAGAGGCUGAUGGUGAGCCAGCAGUAGGUGUUGGGACAAUAGUUGACAGGCCUGGGACCCGGGCCUUCUCACUCAGGCCCCCGACAGACUCAUAGUGGCCUUCCCCACACAGACUGUCACUGACACGCUGGUAGACAUCAUGGCAGUUAUGUGAGCAGUUACUGUAGAAGCUGGUUCUUCACUUUCUUUCUUCGUCUAAUAACAAGUAGUAAGGUGAGUGUUCUGUCCCCCAUCCUUUUCCUUAAUGCUGAACAUGGUUUCAAUACAUUCCACAUAAUUCCCAACUGCUUCUAAACUAAAUCUAAUUUGAUUUAGUUAUAGGUUGAACACUCUUUUAUUAAUUGUUCACUCUCCCUCUGUUACAGUAGCAGUGAGCAGUAGAGUGUCUAUGUUAAACACUACAACCUCACCCAUACCCACAGCACAGAUGCCCAUCAAUUCAGUGCCCCCCUCCCCUCCUCCAUGCUCCCCCUCUGGACAUCGAUGCACAUCUACGUCACACCACCUAGAUAGAUUCUUAUAUUUAUAUGUACAUUUUUUCUGGGAAAUGUAUAGUUUCUGUGUAGAAGUGGGAGUCUGUGUAUGUAGGUGUUGGAGAGUAAUCUCUCUGUCCCCUGCUUUCACUCGUCUAAUCCUGGCUGCUACAGCGGAUCACAUUGCCGUGGUGGAGAUCCUACUGGAUAAAGGAGAGGACAUCGAAGCCCAUUCUGAGAGAAUCAAAAACACACCUCUCUCCCUGGCCUGCUCUGUAGGAAGACAAGAGGUGACAAAACUGUUGCUGCUGCGUGGGGCCCAACAAGGAGCAGUGUAGCAUUUCAGAUUACUCCUCUCAGCCUGGCCGCCUCAGGGGGCUGUAUCAAUAUCAAGAUCCUCAUGAAUGCUGGUGCUGAAAUCAACUCCAGAUACGACAGUUUAUCAACCUCUGAAACACACAACCAUCCCUGACUAGAAGUACAUUGGGUAGCUCUCUGCUGAUGCUGGCUACCAUGAAUGGUCACGUCCUUGUGGUCAAGCUGCUGCUGGACAUGGGCUCAGACAUCCACACUCCCGUCGAGACCAAGCGCAACGCAGCACUGACCCUGGACUGCCAACAUGGAGCACCGCUCCAAGUUGAGAGCAGCCACCAUCAGCUGAACUUGGCAGGUCAUGUUAUCUGGGCUAGAGUCAAAGACAUCAGAAAUUAGGUUUGGUGUUAGACAGUGUGGUGUCUGUGUGUUGCAGUAUGUCACUGACCCAUAUGUCCUCUCUUUUAGACAGGUCUGACUCCUCUCAUGGGGGCUGCAUCGGGUGGCUAAGCUGUGGUGGGGCUGGUGCUGCUGGACAAGCACUAUAGUGUGUGUGACAUGGCGUCUCAAAUCAAAUCAAAUGUAUUUAUUUAUAUAGCCCUUCAUACAUCAGCUGAUAUCUCAAAGUGCUGUACAGAAACCCAGCCUAAAACCCCAAACAGCAAGCAAUGCAGGUGUAGAAGCACGGUGGCUAGGAAAAACUCCCUAGAAAGGCCAAAACCUAGGAAGAAACCUAGAGAGGAUAUGUGGGGUGGCCAGUCCUCUUCUGGCUGUGCCGGGUGGAGAUUAUAACAGAACAUGGCCAAGAUGUUCAAAUGUUCAUAAAUGACCAGCAUGGUCCAAUAAUAAUAAGGCAGAACAGUUGAAACUGGAGCAGCAGCACGGUCAGGUGGACUGGGGACAGCAAGGAGCCAUCAUGUCAGGUAGUCCUGGGGCAUGUUCCUAGGGCUCAGGUCCUCCGAGAGAGAGAAAGAAAGAGAAUUAGAGAGAGCAUAUGUGGGGUGGCCAGUCCUCUUCUGGCUGUGCCGGGUGGAGAUUAUAACAGAAGAUGACCAAGAUGUUCAUAAAUGACCAGCAUGGUCAAAUAAUAUUAAGGCAGAACAGUUGAAACUGGAGCAGCAGCACGGCCAGGUGGACUGGGGACAGCAAGGAGUCAUCAUGUCAGGUAGUCCUGGGGCAUGGUCCUAGGGCUCAGGUCCUCCGAGAGAGAGAAAGAAAGAGAGAAGGAGAGAAUUAGAGAACGCACACUUAGAUUCACACAGGACACUGAAUAGGACAGGAGAAGUACUCCAGAUAUAACAAACUGACCCUAGCCCCCCGACACAAACUACUGCAGCAUAAAUACUGGAGGCUGAGACAGGAGGGGUCAGGAGACACUGUGGCCCCAUCCGAGGACACCCCCGGACAGGGCCAAACAGGAAGGAUAUAACCCCACCCACUUUGCCAAAGCACAGCCCCCACACCACUAGAGGGAUAUCUUCAACCACCAACUUACCAUCUUGAGACAAGGCUGAGUAUAGCCCACAAAGAUCUACGCCAUGGCACAACCCAAGGGGUCUCAACAGACCAUCCUCAGUGGUGAACUAGACUUUUACCUCUGACACAUUACAUCAGCACCCAUCAUGAAUCUCGUUAUCUUCCUGAGUCCAACCUCAUCCAACCAUCUGAUAUAUAGCUGGAAAUAAAUCGGAAAUUCUGAA